GAUGAACGCUGGCGGCGUGCCUAAUACAUGCAAGUCAAGCGAACAGACGAGGAGCUUGCUCCUCUGACGUUAGCGGCGGACGGGUGAGUAACACGUGGAUAACCUACCUAUAAGACUGGGAUAACUUCGGGAAACCGGAGCUAAUACCGGAUAAUAUAUUGAACCGCAUGGUUCAAUAGUGAAAGACGGUUUUGCUGUCACUUAUAGAUGGAUCCGCGCCGCAUUAGCUAGUUGGUAAGGUAACGGCUUACCAAGGAAACGAUGCGUAGCCGACCUGAGAGGGUGAUCGGCCACACUGGAACUGAGACACGGUCCAGACUCCUACGGGAGGCAGCAGUAGGGAAUCUUCCGCAAUGGGCGAAAGCCUGACGGAGCAACGCCGCGUGAGUGAUGAAGGUCUUCGGAUCGUAAAACUCUGUUAUUAGGGAAGAACAAAUGUGUAAGCAACUAUGCACGUCUUGACGGUACCUAAUCAGAAAGCCACGGCUAACUACGUG
rnacentral:rRNA from 1 species